GCCAGAUGUGGUGGUGUACCCCUGUAAUCCCAGCAGCUUGGGAGGCUGAGGCAGGAGAAUUGCUAGUUCAAAGCCAGCCUCAGCAAAAGUGAGGCACUAAGCAACUCAGUGAGACCCUGUCUCUA
rnacentral:sRNA from 1 species